rnacentral:rRNA from 1 species
UUAACACAUGCAAGUCGAACGAAGAGGUCUAGCUUGCUAGACUGAUUAGUCGCGAACGGGUGAGUAACAUUUAGGAAUCUACCUUAUAGAGGGGGAUAGCUCGGGGAAACUCGAAUUAAUACCGCAUACGACCUACGGGUGAAAGGGGGCGCAAGCUCUUGCUAUAAGAUCAGCCUAAACCAGAUUAUCUAGUUGGUGGGGUAAAGGCCUACCAAGGCGACGAUCUGUAGCUGGUCUGAGAGGAUGAUCAGCCACACUGGGACUGAGACACGGCCCACACUCCUACGGGACGCAGCAGUGGGGAAUAUUGGACAAUGGGCGAAAGCCUGAUCCAGCCAUGCCGCGUGUGUGAAGAAGGCCUUAUGGUUGUAAAGCACUUUAAGUGGGGAGGAAAAGCUUAUGGAUAACACGCAUAGGUUCUGACGUUACCCACAGAAUAAGCACCGGCUAACUCUGUGCCAGCAGCCGCGGUAAUACAGAGGGUGCAAGCGUUAAUCGGAAUUACUGGGCGUAAAGCGAGCGUAGGUGGUUUAUUAAGUCUGAUGUGAAAUCCCUGGGCUUAACCUAGGAACUGCAUCUGAUACUGAUAAACUAGAGUAGGUGAGAGGAAAGUAGAAUUCCAGGUGUAGCGGUGAAAUGCGUAGAGAUCUGGAGGAAUACCGAUGGCGAAGGCAGCUUUCUGGCAUCAUACUGACA